GUUUCUGUAGUGUAGUGGUUAUCACGUUCGCCUCACACGCGAAAGGCCCCCGGUUCGAAACCGGGCAGAAACU
rnacentral:tRNA from 1 species